rnacentral:rRNA from 1 species
AAUAUUGCGCACUGUAGGGAACUCUGACGCAGCGACGCCGCGUGAGCGAUAACGGUCUUCUGAUCGUAAAGCUCUGUCCUUGGGGAAGAAGGUCUUCGGACUUGACGGUACCUAAGGAGGAAGCCCCGGCUAACUACGUGCCACCAGCCGCGGUAAUACGUAGGGGGCGACCGUUAUCCGGAAUUAUUGGGCGUAAAGGGUGCGGAGGCGGCCUUUUAAGUCAGAUGGGAAAGGCUACGGCAUAACCGGAGUUAGCAUUUGAAACUAAAAGGCUUGAGUGCAGGAGAGGAGGGUGGAAUUCCUAGUGUAGCGGUGAAAUGCGUAGAUAUUAGGAGGAACACCAGUGGCGAAGGCGACUCUCUGGACUGCAACUGACGCUGAGGCACGAAAGCGUGGGGAGCGAACA